rnacentral:rRNA from 1 species
GGGCCCGCACAAGCGGUGGAGCAUGUGGUUUAAUUCGAUGAUACGCGAGGAACCUUACCAGGGCUUAAAUGUAGUCUGACAGAUCUGGAAACAGGUCCUUCUUCGGACAGAUUACAAGGUGCUGCAUGGUUGUCGUCAGCUCGUGCCGUGAGGUGUCAGGUUAAGUCCUAUAACGAGCGCAACCCCUGUCGUUAGUUGCCAGCGAGUCAUGUCGGGAACUCUAGCGAGACUGCCGGUGCAAACCGUGAGGAAGGUGGGGAUGACGUCAAAUCAUCACGGCCCUUACGUCCUGGGCCACACACGUGCUACAAUGGCCAGUACAGAGAGCAGCCACUUGGCGACAAGGAGCGAAUCUAUAAAGCUGGUCACAGUUCGGAUUGGAGUCUGCAACUCGACUCUAUGAAGCUGGAAUCGCUAGUAAUCGCAUAUCAGCCAUGAUGCGGUGAAUACGUUCCCGGGCCUU